rnacentral:rRNA from 1 species
UACGUAGGGGGCUAGCGUUGUCCGGAAUCAUUGGGCGUAAAGAGCGUGUAGGCGGUCCGGUAAGUCCGCCGUGAAAGUCGGGGGCUCAACCCUCGAAUGCCGGUGGAUACUGUCGGGCUAGAGUGCGGAAGAGGCGAGUGGAAUUCCUGGUGUAGCGGUGAAAUGCGUAGAUAUCUGGAGGAACACCGGUGGCGAAGGCGGGUCUCUGGGCCGAUACUGACGCUGAGGAGCGAAAGCGUGGGGAGCAAACAGG